UUGACGGGGGCCCGCACAAGCGGCGGAGCAUGCGGAUUAAUUCGAUGCAACGCGAAGAACCUUACCAAGGCUUGACAUACACCGGUAACGCCCAGAGAUGGGUGCCCCUUUGUGGUCGGUGUACAGGUGGUGCAUGGUUGUCGUCAGCUCGUGUCGUGAGAUGUUGGGUUAAGUCCCGCAACGAGCGCAACCCUCGUCCUAUGUUGCCAGCGGGUCAUGCCGGGGACUCAUGGGAGACUGCCGGGGUCAACUCGGAGGAAGGUGGGGAUGACGUCAAAUCAUCAUGCCCCUUAUGUCUUGGGCUUCACGCAUGCUGCAAUGGCCGGUACAAAGGGCUGCGAUACCGCGAGGUGGAGCGAAUCCCAGAAAGCCGGUCUCAGUCCGGAUUGGAGUCUGCAACUCGACUCCAUGAAGUUGGAAUCGCUAGUAAUCGCGGAUCAGCACGCCGCGGUGAAUACGUUCCCGGGCCUU
rnacentral:rRNA from 1 species